GAAGUGCGAUAAGCAAUGCGAAUUGCAGAAUUCCGCGAGUCAUCAGAUCUUUGAACGCAAAUGGCGCCGGAGGGAUAUCCUUCUGGCAUGUCUGUUUCAGUGUCUGAGAGGUUUCACCAACAUCUUAAUGUGAUUGACAGCAGCAGCAGCAGCAAGCAAUUGUUGUGGUUGGUGUUGUCUCUCAUGAAAGAUGCGCGAGUGGAUCUUUCGGUCCAAUGAAGUGGUCACAUCACUCGUAUGUGAUUUCAUUGGGAGCACCGAAUUAUCCGCCAUGCUCGCGGUGUCAUCAUAUAAUAUAUGACGAAAGCAAGAAAGAAAGAAAGAAAGAGUUUCUUUCUUCUUCUUCUUCUUUGGUUGUAUUUUUUUUCUCUCUCUACACCCUGCAUCUGAGAUAGGCAAGAUCACCCGCUGAACUUAAGC
rnacentral:misc_RNA from 1 species